AACGAACGCUGGCGGCGUGGAUAAGACAUGCAAGUCGAGCGGGAUAUUAUUUGUAGCAAUACACGUAAUGUCUAGUGGCGUAAGGGUGCGUAACACGUGGGCAAUCUGCCGAGAAGUGGGGGAUAGCUCGUCGAAAGGCGAAUUAAUACCGCAUGUGGUUAGUGAGGGAUUCCUCGCGACACCAAAGCCGGGGCAACCUGGCGCUUCUUGAUGAGCCCGCGGCCUAUCAGCUAGUUGGUGAGGUAACGGCUCACCAAGGCUAUGACGGGUAGCUGGUCUGAGAGGACGACCAGUCACACUGGAACUGAGACACGGUCCAGACACCUACGGGUGGCAGCAGUCGAGAAUUUUUCUCAAUGGGGGAAACCCUGAAGGAGCGACGCCGCGUGGAGGAUGAAGGUCUUCGGAUUGUAAACUCCUGUCAUUUGGGAACAAACUGCAUAGGUUAACUGCCGAUGCAUUGAUAGUACCAGAAGAGGAAGAGACGGCUAACUCUGUGCCAGCAGCCGCCGCAGUAAUAC
rnacentral:rRNA from 1 species